AUGCUCUAUGAGAACGAGCACUAAAAGCUGAAGCCACGCCUCGGACCCCUCUUACAACAACGACCGAUGCGUGGCUCCCUUCAGGGGGUGGAAUAUGAUGAGAGAAAUAAUGGCGACAAGACUGGGGCUGACGACACCUGUCCCAGAUGACGCAUCACUCCUCAGCACCUAGUCAAACGGACUGAAACGCCGACCAAGGCACAUUAAAUAUUCUGUCCAGGCUCGAUCUCGCACGCCACGCCAACGCCAGUGUCAGACGCUACCUGCCCCCGCAAGGGGGCACAUCAAGCACAGUAAGCUUCCCUAUAAAUACCCUCGCAUACUAAAGGAGAAGACGGGACAAACUCACACACCACACUUGUAUGGAGGCAUCUCUUCCUCCAAAACCCUCUCCACAUCGCUAACUUGGCCGUCGGACGGGUCGGGUCGAGUGCCUCGGCCCGACCUUAGUGCAGGUGCCCGAGGCCACAACUCUUCCAGGCGCUGCGGCGGAGCUCCCUGCCGACCCGACCUCCCAAGCCAAUGUCCCAACCCGAACCACCGUGCUCGGUUGCCGGAAGACCCCGAGGGACGCCGGACGAGACCCCGACAUCCGGACCCCCGAACCCUAGCCAAGCAGGGAGCUAACAGCGAUGCCCCCGCCGCAAUAGGUACAAGUAGAACUGGUCAUUAGGUAGAACAGCUGAUGCAUGGGAGUGUUACUCAUGGAAUCGCCUGAAAUAAACAAUUUGCUCAGUAAGCAUACGUUGUCACUAAAACGUAAGCGAGUCGACUCACUAAACCCGGUUGACUCAAGCGAGUCGACUAGCUAAACUCGAUCGGCUCAAACGAGUCAGCUUAAGUUUGGCCGAGUCUACUCAAUAAGGCUAAACUAUAUAACGAGGAAAUAAGAGGUUAAGUGAAGAGGUCGCGAUUCGUGCAGACGAACCCUAGCCAAGCCUUCGCCGCCCGUUGGUUCCGGCGAGACCCCUCAAGCCGGUCUUCGCCCGCUACUGCCAUCGAGAUCUCUCAAGAGAGGCUUUGACAUCCAGCGGCCUUUCUCAGCUAUCGUCUUCUAUAUUCUUUCUGAUGCUGCAAUAGGAUUGCUGAGGAUUUGAGUUCCUUGGUCACUAGAGCCAUGGAGAAAAGACUCCUAGAAAUCCAAUAGUUCUCUUGAUGAUGGUUGACAUGCAGCAGUGCCAUGUGCUUAGCAGCCAAGUAGGAGAUGUGGAAUGCUACUUGUAUGGUUUUCAAUGUGAACUUCCCUUGUCUUAGUGAUUUGUGGAUCAUAUUUGAGUGGCUAAUAAUGGAUUUUCCUUCUUGACUGUCCAAUAAAUAAUCAAUAGCAAACACCUUCUCAAUUAUAUACUUAUAAGAUUUUGAUAUAUGAAUGUAUACAUAUUUUGUUAUUA